AAUGUAAUAAGACUAUAAAUAUAAAUAUUCAAAAAAUAAUAUAAUUAAAAUAAGGUUGGCUUAAAAAAUUGAAGAAGAGAAAGAGUGUAAGAGAAAUAUAAGGACUAUUAUUAGUAAAUGAAUUAUUUUAUAAAGUUAUAUAGGUAAAAGAAAAAUUAGAGGAAAAAGCUGUUGAAAUAAUAUAAAUAAUUAAUAAAAUAAAAAUAGAUAGGAUAGCGAAAUAAAAAUUGUUUCAUG
rnacentral:lncRNA from 1 species